CCCUUAGAUGUUCUGGGCUGCACGCGUGUUACAAUCGGGAGUACAACAAGAUUGCAAAUCCUAGUGGAUGAGUGGUUCUUCGAAAUUUUCUGAAGACUGGGAUAGUUGAUUGAAAUUAUUCAACUCAAACGAGGAAUUCCUUGUAAUUGUAAUUCAUUAUAUUGUAAUGAAUACGUCCCUGCCCUUUGUACACACCGCCCGUCGCUCCUACCGAUUGAACGAUCCGGUGAAUUAUUUGGAGUAGCUCUGGAAGUUGCAGAACUUCCUAUGUCACGAAAUUUCGUAAACCUUAUCGUUUAGAGGAAGGAAAAGUCGUAACA
rnacentral:rRNA from 1 species